rnacentral:rRNA from 1 species
GACGAACGCUGGCGGCGUGCCUAAUACAUGCAAGUCGAACGCAGUUGCGAACGGGUGAGUAACGCGUAGGUAACUGCCUCUAAGAGGGGGAUAACUAUUGGAAACGAUAGCUAAUACCGCAUACUGUGAGAUGGACUUGAGUUGUAUUAGCUAGUUGGUGAGGUAAAGGCUCACCAAGGCGAAGAUACAUAGCCGACCUGAGAGGGGUGUCGGCCACACGGGGACUGCGACACGGCCCAGACUCCGUCUGGAGGCAGCCGGAGGGAGUUUUUGGCAAUGGACGGAAGUCUUACCGAGCACGGCGGCGGGAGUGAAGAGGGGUUUCGGAUCGUGAAGCUCUGUUGUUAGAGGAGCGGUAACUAACCAGAAAGGGACGGCUAACUUCGUGGCAGCAGGCGCGGGAAUAC